AGACGGGCGUCCCGAGCGGAGCAGAGACGCUGGCAAUGGAUCAGUGAAGGAAAUGGCUGACAAAAUGGCGUCCGGAGUCAGCUGACUGGAGGCUGAAGCGAGAUUCUCAUGUGGGGAUGAGAGGAAUUAAAGUUUUUUCCCCAGAUGGAUCAUUCUGUCAGACUGAAGAGGAUCCAUUAAAACUGAUCCCUGAUUUAAUGGCAGAUCCAGAGAAAUAUAAGGGAGGUAAAGACCCGUUUCACACCCACAACUGGCUGCUGUGACUGCGGAGAAGCAGCUUUGGAGGCUAUCUGAGGUUUUGUUAGGAAAUGUGAAAUAAAAAAAGAGCAGGAGAGGCUGAAACCUUAAGAAGUUAAAAGAUAGAGGCAAACAAAGUCAGGAUAGGAUCUUUAUUCAAGUCUCAGCUAAGUGAUAGAAAUGCUUUACCACUUUACAUAGCACUAAAAAGACACGUUUUAUUCACAGGACAGAAGGAUGUCAGAAUGAGCUCAACAGGCCGUUUUCAGUCCGUUCUGCCUCUCGGUUACUGAAAGCCAAAAGUUCUGGUGUUGGAUCCGCAUGGAUCCUCGCCUCAGACAGAACUUGAAUCCUACAGAAGAUCAAGUGGAUCACAGAUGGAAACGUUUGUCGUUAUACGUAAUGUUGUGUUACCAUGAUCUAGACUAGAUAAUUUAAAAAAUAUAUUUACCUUUAAAAAAAAUCAAACUCACAAAUAUGACUUCAUCACUCUUACAUUUCCAUACAGACAGACAGGAGGCCUUCGUGAUGUUUGGCAGGCUUUAUAAAAUGAAGCAAAGUGAUGUAAGAAAAUCCUCCGAGCAGCUGAUCAACACAAAAAUCUUGUUUCUUUUUUCCGUUUGAACUCAAGUUUCAUCUCAUACCACCUUCGAGUCCGGGAAAGGUUAAAAAGAUCAUUAACGUACUCGUGGCGUGAAAUAUCAACAUAACGGUUUAUCUUUUACGGGAUCGGAGGCUGCGGGUGAGGAUCCGGGUCAGUGUUGUGCAGAAGAAGUACACGUCAGAAAUAAAAAAGGGGCUUCCUAGCAUGCUGUACAAAAGCUGUUGAGGAACAACAGAAGAAACGGCGUGAGUUUAGAAGCUUUUUGGUUUCGCUGUACCACAAAAUGCCAAAAACGUCUACGCUGAUGUAACAAAUGGUGUGUUCUGCAGUGUUUUGGGGUUGGUGGGAGGGGUCUGACGUCAAGAUGAGGCCGCCAUCAUUUAGCACUUGGUCCGCUGCAUGUGGGGGGGCACAGAGUCCUUUAGCUUUCUAUCGCGGGCUGCUCUGCAGCAGCUUCCUCGUAGGGGCCUGUCUGUUGUUCAGCUGGGCUGUCCGGGCUGUGCCUGCAAAAAAAAAAAAAAA